rnacentral:lncRNA from 1 species
CUUCUUUGGGUUGGUUCCGAUAACAUUGCGUUUGUGAGGAUUCGUUCGACUACGUCCGUUUGUCUUCUUCAUGGACUCAUUCUUCUUCCUUGCGGGAUCUCAGGCAAGAUGACCAUACCCUCGGAAUCACGUCUAUCUUUGCUUGCUAGUUGCUUGCUCUAUUGCUAUGCCUAUGCCGCGAUACCUACCACAUGCUUUAUCAUGCCUCCCAUGUUGCCAUGUCAAGCCUCUAACCCACCUUUUCCUAUCAAACCAUUGUUUGGCUAUGUUACCGCUUUGCUCAGCCCCUCUUAUAGCGUUGUUAGUUGCAGGUGAAGAUGGAGUUUGUUCCAUGUUGGAACAUGGAUAUGUUGGGAUAUCACAAUAUCUCUUGUUUAUAUUAAUGCAUCUAUAUACUUGGUAAAGGGUGGAAGGCUCAGCCUUAUGCCUGGUGUUUUAUUCCACUCUUGCCGCCCUAGUUUCCGUCAUACCGGUGUUAUGUUCCUUGAUUUUGCGUUCCUUACACGGUUGGGUGUUAUGGGGACCCCUUGACAUCUCACUUUGAAUAAAACUCCUCCGGCAAGGCCCAACCUUGGAUUUACCAUUUGCCUCACCACCACCUACUUUUCCCUUGGGAGUCUCUCUCUCGAGGGUCAUCUUUUUUUAGCCCCCCGGGCCAGUGCUUGUCUAACUGUUGGUCCGAACCGGGCAGCCUGCGGGGCCACCUCGGGGAAACUCGAGGGCUGGUUUUACUCGUAGCUUGACCCAUACGGUGUUGCCCUGAGAACGAGAUAUGUGUUGCUCCUAUCAGGAUGUCGGCGCAUCGGGCGGCUUUACUGGUCUUGUUUUACCAUUGUCUAAAUGUCUUGUAACCGGGAUUCCGAGACUAAUCGGGUCUUCCUGGGAGAAGGAAUAUCCUUCGUUGACCGUGAGAGCUUGUGAUGGGCUAAGUUGGGACACCCCUGCAGGGUUUUUGAACUUUCGAAAGUCGUGCCGGCGGUUAUGGGCAGAUGGGAAUUUGUUAAUGUCCGGUUGUAGAGAACUUGAAACUUAACUUAAUUAAAAUGCAUCAACCGCGUGUGUAGCCGUGAUGGUCUCUUCUCGGCGGGGUCUGGGAAGUGAACACGGUUCUUGUGUUAUGCUUGAACGUAAGUAGUUUCAGGAUCACUUCUUGAUCAUUUCUAGUUCGUGACCGUGCUUUACUUCUUUUCUCGCUCUCUUUUGCGUAAGUUAGCCACCAUAUAUGCUAGUGCUUGCUGCAGAUCCACCUCACAUACCUUUUACCUACCCAUAAGCUUAAAUAGUCUUGAUCGCGAGGAUGUGAGAUUGCUGAGUCCCCGUGACUCACAUUUUACUUCCAAAACCAGCUUGCAGGUGCCGUUGAUACCGUGCAGGUGACGCAACUGAGCUCAAGGAGGAGCUCGAUGAAGAUCGUGUUCGUUAUGUUGUUCCGUUUCUAGUUGAUCAGUAGUGGAGCCUAGUCGGGUCGAUCGGGGAUCUUUCGCAUUAGGGGUAGUCCUCUUUUAUUUUGGUUUCAUAGUCCGACCUUGUUUGUAUCUGGAUGAUGUAAUGCUUUAUUCAUGUAUUGUGUGAAGUGGCGGUUGUAAGCCAACUCUGUACCUCUUUCUUAUUCAGUACAUGGGAUGUGUAAAGAUUACCCCUCUUGCGACAUGCCUACAAUGCGGUUAUGCCUCUAAGUCAUGCUCCGACACGUGGGAGAUAUAGCCGCAUUGUGGGUGUUACAAGUUGGUAUCAGAGCCUUCCCCAACUUAGG